CUGGGAGGUUUCUGGGGUCUCUCCAAGGUGUUUUCAAAUGAAAACAUUCAGCUCAGAGUCUAAGAAAAUCACCAGAGGACAGGGCCAGCCUGACCUGGCUGUUUUUGUCUGAGCAAUCCUUGGAUAUAUAGAAUUUGGGAGAUAAAAUUCUAAUUUUGGCCAUGGCAUCUGGGCAUGAAAGGUGGUUCUUUUCCACAGGAAUUAAGGAACAGAGCCACAGUGUUUCAGGGGCAGAUGAGAGGUGACCACCAGAGGCCAAGGCUAGCCAGAGCAGGGAAAGCACGGAGCCCCAGUGUUUCAGGAGCUGAUGAGAAGCAGCCCUUGACAUGCCAAGGUCAGCUAGACUUGUCAGGUGGCCCAUGGGGAGACCAAGCCAGCCAGACCUGCUCCAUGUUCCCUCAGUUACACGGGGCCCCAUAGUGUCCCAAUGGUCCCUUGCUUCCAUGACGCACUGAGGUGUCCCAAUGGCCCUUUGGUGACAUGAGGCCCUGAAAGGCCCUCAUGGUCUCCAUGGUUCCAUCAGGCCCCACAGAGUCAUAAUGAUCUCUGGGUUCCAUGAAGCCCCGCUGUGUCACCAUGGCCCCUUGGUUCCAUGGGCUCCAGUGGUGCCACAAUGAACCCCUUGCUUUCAUGAGGUCCCCACAGUAUCCCAGGGAUCUCCAUGGGAAGGAAAGAACCAAGCCCCAGUGUUGCAGAGGCAGUCACCAGAGGCCAAGGCCAGCCAGACUUGAUGGGACUGGCAGAUUUUGCCUGGAAGCAACCCUUGGAUAUACAGAAUUUUAGAGGAAGGAAAGCACAGAGCUCAAGUGUUUCAAAUGGAGAUGAGGAGAGAGAUGGCUCCUGGGAGGCUCAGCCAGCCAUAUCUGUUUCUCCUGGCAGCUUUCAUCAUGGAGGAGUCCUUGGAUAUAUGGAAUUUGGGAGGAAGAAUUUCUAAUUUGACAAUGGACACCUUGAGAAGAAGGAUGGUUCUUUUCCAUUGGAAGGAAAGCACUGAGCCCCAGUGUUUGGAAAGCAGUCCCCAAGAGGCCAAGGGCAGCCAGACCUGUCAGUCCUGGCAACUUUCACUUGGGAGCAAUCCUUGGAUGUACAGAAUUUUGGAAGUGGAAUCCCAGUUUUGGCCAUGGGCACCUGGUCAAGAUGGAUGAUUUGCUGCUACAGGAAAGAGAAGUGCCAAGUCCAAGUGUUCUGGAAGAUGAUGAGAGGUAGCCACCCUUAGGCCAAGACAGCCAGACCUGUCUCUCCUGGCAGCUUUUGUCUAGGGGCUAUCCUUGGACAUAGAGCAUUUUGGAGGUGCAAUCUCAAUUUUGGCUGUGGAUACGUGGACAGGAAUAGUUCUUUCUAUGAAGAAAGAAAGCGCAGAGCCUCAGUGUUUCAGAGGCAGAUGAGUGCCAGCCCUCAGGAAGCCAAGGCCAGCCAGACUUGUCACUCCUGGCAGCUUUUGUCUCAGAGUUAUCCUUGGAUAUAGGGAAUGCUGGAGACAGAUGCCCAAUUUUGGCCAUGUGUACUUGGUCGGGAUGGAUGUUUUUUUCCCAUAAGAAAGAAAAGCACAUGGUCCCAGUGUUUCAAAGACAGAUGAGAGAUGGCCCCUGGAUGGCCAAGGCAACCAGAUCUGUCACUCCUGGCAGAUUUCAUCUGGAAACAACCUUUGCAUAUAAGGAAAUGUGGAGAAGGAAUCCAAAUUUUGGCCAUGGGGCCUUGGAGGAGAAGGACACUUCUCUCUCAUAAGAAGGAAAGCCCAGAGCCCCAGUGCUCCAGGGACAGAUGAGAAGCAGCCCUCGACAUGCCAAAGUCAGCUGGACUUGUCAGGUGGUCCCCAGGAGGCCCAGCCAGCCAGACCUGUUCCCUGUUCCCUUGGUUUUGUGGGACCCCACAGUGUCACAAUGGUUUCCUUGGUUUCAUGAGGCCCUGGAGUGUCAGAAUGUUCCCCCUGCUUCUGCAGUGUCACAAUGGCCCCGUGCUUCCAUGAGACCUUGCAACGUCACAAUGGCUCAUGCUCCCACAAAGCCCUGAUGUGUCACCAUGGCCCCUCGGCUCCAUGCCCCCUCGCUGUGUCACAAUGGCUUCUCUGUGACACUACAGGAUCCACAAGGUCACCAUGGACCCUUGGUUCCUUGGGGCCCCGAGUUUCACAAUGAUCUCCUUGAUUGCAUGAGUCACCAGAGUGUCACAGUGGCCCCUUGGUUCCAUGAGGUUCCGUAGUGUCACCGUGGUGUCCUUGGACCCGCGUUGUCACAACUGACCCCUGGCUCCAUGAGGUUCCGUACGGUCACUGUGGUCGCUGUCAGAGGCAGGAUGAGAUCAAUGUCCCGAGACACCUUGGGAUGCUUGGAAUGCCCAUGUGGGGCCAGGGCCGGGUUAGGCCUUGCCUCAAAUCCUGAUAGGCACAGGAGGGAAACUAAAGCUGCAGGAGCCCAAGAUGUUGUCACCUUGGCUGUGUGACUUCCUGAGCUGCUGCCUGCAGACAGAUGAGGAGCAGCGCUGGUCUGCCAAGGAGCUCCUGCAGCAUCCAUUUAUAACAUCUGCUGAGCCUGCAUCCAGCCUGGUGCCACUGCUUGGUGCAGUGAGGAAGAGGAAGGAGACAAGACAGCACCACUUAGUUAUCAACCACCUUAGAGCAGGAUUGUAGGUUAGGAUAAGGGUAAGGUUUAGGCUUAGGCUUAGGUUUAGGCUUAGGUUUAGGCUUAGUCUUAGGUUUAGGCUUAGAUUUAGGCUUAGAUUUAGGCGUAAGUUUAGGCUUAGGUUUAGGCUUAGGCUUAGGUUUAGGCUUAGGCUUAAGCUUAGGGUUAGGCUUAAGACUAGGUUUAGUGCUGCGGUUACGGUUAGAGUUACUGUUAUGACUAGGUUUAGUUUUAGGUUUAGUGUUAGGGUUACAACUAGUCUUAAGGGGUUAGAGUUAGGGUAUGAUUUUGUAAUAGGUGUGCAGAGUAGAAUUUGAAAUUAAUAAAACAUUU